rnacentral:rRNA from 1 species
UGGCGGCGUGGUUAAGACAUGCAAGUCGAACGGGACUUUUUGUUGUAGCAAUACGAGGGAAAGUUCAGUGGCGAUCGGGUGCGUAACACGUGGGCAAUCUGCCUUAAAGUGUGGAAUAGCUCGGCGAAAGCCGAAUUAAUACCGCAUGUGGCUACUGGAGACAUCUUCGGGACGCUAAAGGUGGCGCAAGCUACCGCUUUUUGAGGAGCCCGCGGCCUAUCAGCUUGUUGGUGAGGUAACGGCUCACCAAGGCGUUGACGGGUAGCUGGUCUGAGAGGACGACCAGCCACACUGGGACUGAGACACGGCCCAGACACCUACGGGUGGCAGCAGUCGAGAAUUUUUGACAAUGGGGGAAACCCUGAUCGAGCGACGCCGCGUGGAGGAUGAAGGUCUUCGGGUUGUAAACUCCUGUCAUUUGGGAACAAGGCGUAUGUGUUAACUGUACGUGCGUUGAUAGUACCAGAAGAGGAAGAGACGGCUAACUCUGUGCCAGCAGCCGCGGUAAUACAGAGGUCUCAAGCGUUGUUCGGAUUCAUUGGGCGUAAAGGGUGUGUAGGUGGCGCGCUAAGUCGGGUGUGAAAUUUCGGAGCUUAACUCCGAAACUGCAUUCGAUACUGGCGUGCUUGA